GGAGACUGGGAAAGGUGGCCUGGGAACCAGGGUGGCGAUCGGACAGAAAAGGGAGCUUUCGCAAUCGGACAGAAAAGAGAGCUUUCAGAAGCCUCUAAUGCUCCUCUUGGCGCCGGCGCCGGCAGAGGACAGAGAUCUGCUCUCUGCUUUUUGGAGAAAGAGAGCAGAUCGGCCGCGGCCGCGCCCUCGGCUAACGGUGCGCCCGGCACAAGGCAGGGACUGUUCUCGGGAGAUGGCUGGACGCUGCUGCUGCAGCCGAGCCCAGGCCGCGGGCACACUCGCUCCCAGGCUGAGACGCGACUGGCUGGCACGAGCUGAUCUGCACCAGCUGAGCUGUCAACCGCGAGUGAGCGGAGGCGGGGCUCCCUGCAACCCAGGACCCGCCCAGGUGACACGCCGAGGCACACACCCUCCGGCCUCUACCGCCUCUCUUGCUGACUCGGAGGAAUGAUGGCCUCAGAAGUAGCCUUCGAUGACCCUCGUCCUACCUUCUGUUCCCUCUCUCAUCCAAGUGAGAGGCUUUGGACAAAACCAGCCAACUGACUUCAAGGGAGCACCUUGGAAAAGGCGGUCUUCCCCUGCGCUGCGUCACCCACCCACAGUUCCCACAGCAACCGGGCCCUACCAGAAGUUCCCAGGAUGCAGAGGACUCCUGAACAUCCUAGAAGGCUCCGAACGCCUUCAGAGACUUCAGAGGGAUCUCCAGGAUGUGGACUCUCUACCGUGGUUGUUCUGAGAUCACAGGGAAAGCCGUUGCUUCCAAGGAGGGGGCUGCCCAGACCCUGUGCGUCUACAUAGGUACCAAUGUUUAAACAGACAGACAUUCUGUAAUUAGAGAGCUUGCCUCCUGGAGCUCCCUUUUAACUCUGAAAUAAACCUUUUUAUUAAGCCACA